AGCGUCCUUCCGUGUUGUAACCUGACAGCCAACAGUCCUCUGAUUUGCUUUGAACUAAAGAAGAGAUUCUACAAAAAAGGGAAGAAGAGCUAAAAAGAUAUGAGAAGAUUAAAAACGACCCUCAGAAAAGGGAACUAGAAAGCUUGUAGAGAAUAUGACUCCACGAGAACACCGAAAUGCCAAGAAGUGGAAAGAGUAUUGCACCAAGUAUCGUAAUAAGAAAAAAGUAUUAGCAAAUAUUACUAAAUCAAUUAUCAAAGAAAAUACUUUAGAUUCUGAUGUAUCUAUUUCAUGUCAAAUGUCAACACCUAAAGUUGCUGAAAUAAUUAAUAAAAAUAAAGAAAAUAUGCUUAAAUAUAAAAUAAAGAAGAAAAAAGAUGAAGAAAUGUAGAAGAAAGUGUUGAAGUACAAAAAACGUUUAUUGCAACUAAAAAAGAGUAUAAAUCCAAAGCCUAAAGAUACACCAAAUACAAAAAAAGGCAAAUACUCCAGAAUCAAGGAAAGAUCUGGAUAUUAUAUUGUUGUGAAAUUGCUUGGCAGAACAAAUAUGGAAUAUAGAAAUGCGAACAUAAUUGACAAGAUUGAUGAAGAAGAUGACGAAAUCCGGGUUACAUUCUUAAAGCUCUGUGAUAAUAAAGGCCGAUUAUUUAGAUACGAUGAUGAUGAUGUGGCAGACAUUACAAUGGGCCAAGUGGUACAGAAGCUGUACCCAAUAUAGUUUAAAAGGCAAUAGAAUGUUUUACAAGUUUGAUUCAUACAUUAAAUACUGUUUUUUGCCUAUUUAUGCUAUAUUUUAGAAAUAACUAUUUUUUCGAAACUGAUUCUCUGGUGUAAGUUUCAAAGUACAAGAAUUCCUUUCAUAUAUGCGAUUUUAAUUAAUUUAAUUAAUUGUAAUUAAUUUUAAAUAGUUGAUUCUUUAAUUUUUUAUUAUUCAGUUACUUAAUUCUCCAAAGUUUAUAAUAGUAAAAAACAUUUAAUUUCAAUACUAAAA